GUCUACGGCCAUACCACCCUGAACACGCCCGAUCUCAUCUGAUCUCGGAAGUUAAGCAGGUUAGUACUUGGAUGGGAGACCACCUAGGAAGACUGGGUGCUGUAGGCA
rnacentral:rRNA from 1 species